GGCGCAAAAUAUCUCAAAUGGUGACUCGCACCACAACACCUGAAAUCUUGAUGACGAACGAACGCUUUGUUUUGAAAAUUUUCGCUUAGUGAAACCUUAUUAAGUUUUUCGAGUUUAUUUCGAUCGUAUAAAAUCAUUAAAAAUGCUUGGUUUACAAUACACCCCACGACACGGCAUUAUCGACUACGAUUGCUGGCCCAGUUCUAAAUAUGUAUCCAUUGAUAUUCCCGAUUAUAGAAUUACAAAGCCUCUUGACUAUUACGACAGCUGGCCUAGAUAUUGGCCUAUCUACUACCCUAUCAGAUCCUUCAGAACAUAUUUGAACAAUCUGCUCUUAAGAGACUUACGUUUGAGAGAGCAACAAUAUGUUCAUACCUACUGGUAAUAAAUAAUCCUGGAAAAUAUUUACCUGACUGAUAACGAUACGGAGAGAAAAUUAUUUUAUUUUGUUAUGCUUUAAUAUAUGUUUUAAUAAAUUGUAACUGAAUAAUAUAAUAUAUUUUGUUUAUUAAAAA